rnacentral:rRNA from 1 species
CCUACGGGUGGCAGCAGUGAGGAAUAUUGGUCAAUGGGCGCGAGCCUGACCCAGCCAAGUAGCGUGAAGGAUGACGGCCCUACGGGUUUUAAACUUCUUUUAUAACGGAAUAAAGUGAGGCACGUGUGCCUUUUUGUAUGUACUUUAUGAAUAAGGAUCGGCUAACUCCGUUCCAGCAGCCGCGGUAAUACGGUGGAUCCGAGCGUUAUCCGGAUUUAUUGGGUUUAAAGGGCGCGUAGGUGGGUUGUUAAGUCAGUUGUGAAAGUUUGCGGCUGAACCGGAAAAUUGCAAUUGAUACUGGGAGUCUUGAGUACAGUAGAGGUAGGCGGAAUUCGUGGUGUAGCGGUGAAAUGCGUAGAUAUCACGAAGAACUCCGAUUGCGAAGGCAGCUUACUAAACUUCCACUGACAUUGAUGCUCGAAAGUGUGGGUAUCAAACAGGAUUAGAUACCCCGGUAGUC